CUGGUGGCGACCGGCGCACGGGUGCGUAACGCGUAUACAAUCUACCCAGUACUGGAGGAUAGCCCGGGGAAACUCGGAUUAAUACUUCAUAGUAUCACAGAUAGGCAUCUUGAAGUGAUUAAAGAUUUAUCGGUAUUGGAUGAGUAUGCGUAAGAUUAGCUAGUUGGUGAGGUAACGGCUCACCAAGGCGACGAUCUUUAGGGGUUCUGAGAGGAUGAUCCCCCACACUGGUACUGAGAUACGGACCAGACUCCUACGGGAGGCAGCAGUAGGGAAUAUUGGUCAAUGGGCGAGAGCCUGAACCAGCCAUGCCGCGUGCAGGAUGACGGCCUUCUGGGUUGUAAACUGCUUUUAUAUGGGAAGAAAAAGCUCAUGCGUGAGCAAUUGCCGGUACCAUAUGAAUAAGCACCGGCUAACUCCGUGCCAGCAGCCGCGGUAAUACGGAGGGUGCAAGCGUUGUCCGGAUUUAUUGGGUUUAAAGGGUACGUAGGCGGAUUUUUAAGUCCGUGGUGAAAGCCUACAGCUUAACUGUAGAACUGCCAUGGAUACUGGAAAUCUUGAAUUCAGUUGAGGUAAGCGGAAUUUAUGAUGUAGCGGUGAAAUGCAUAGAUAUCAUAAAGAACACCUAUUGCGAAGGCAGCUUGCUGGAC
rnacentral:rRNA from 1 species